ACGCUCGACACCUACGGAGGCAGCAGUGGGGAAUAUUGCACAAUGGGGGAAACCCUGAUGCAGCGACGCCGCGUGGAGGAAGAAGGUCUUCGGAUUGUAAACUCCUGUUGUUGGGGAAAAAGAGGAUGGUACCCAACAAGGAAGUGACGGCUAACUACGUGCCAACAGCCGCGGUAAUCUGAGCGGGCGUGGCAAGGC
rnacentral:rRNA from 1 species